rnacentral:rRNA from 1 species
GACGAACGCUGGCGGCGUGCUUAACACAUGCAAGUCGAACGGAAAGGCCCUGCUUUUGUGGGGUGCUCGAGUGGCGAGCGGGUGAGUAACACGUGAGUAACCUGCCCUUGACUUUGGGAUAACUUCAGGAAACUGGGGCUAAUACCGGAUAGGAGCUCCUGCUGCAUGGUGGGGGUGGGAAAGUUUCGGCGGUUGGGGAUGGACUCGCGGCUUAUCAGCUUGUUGGUGGGGUAGUGGCUUACCAAGGCAUUGACGGGUAGCCGGCCUGAGAGGGUGACCGGCCACAUUGGGACUGAGAUACGGCCCAGACUCCUACGGGAGGCAGCAGUGGGGAAUAUUGCACAAUGGGCGGAAGCCUGAUGCAGCAACGCCGCGUGCGGGAUGACGGCCUUCGGGUUGUAACCCGCUUUCGCCUGUGACGAAGCGUGAGUGACGGUAAUGGGUAAAGAAGCACCGGCUAACUACGUG